GUGCUGACUUUGGCAACACGUAUACUAAAAUCACAGCAAUACAGAAAAGAUCAGCACGGCUCUGCACAAGGAUGACAUACAAAUCCGUGCAGCACUCCACUUUUUU
rnacentral:snRNA from 1 species